rnacentral:rRNA from 1 species
GACGAACGCUGGCGGCGUGCUUAACACAUGCAAGUCGAACGGAAAGGCCCUGCUUUUGUGGGGUGCUCGAGUGGCGAACGGGUGAGUAACACGUGAGUAACCUGCCCUUGACUUUGGGAUAACUUCAGGAAACUGGGGCUAAUACCGGAUAGGAGCUCCUGCUGCAUGGUGGGGGUUGGAAAGUUUCGGCGGGUGGGGAUGGACUCGCGGCUUAUCAGCUUGUUGGUGGGGUAGUGGCUUACCAAGGCUUGGACGGGUAGCCGGCCUGAGAGGGUGACCGGCCACAUUGCGCCUGCGGUACGGCGCAGACUCCUACGGGAGGCAGCAGUGGGGAAUAUUGCACAAUGGGCGGAAGCCUGAUGCAGCAACGCCGCGUGCGGGAUGACGGCCUUCGGGUUGUAAACCGCUUUCGCCUGUGACGAAGCGUGAGUGACGGUAAUGGGUAAAGAAGCACCGGCUAACUACGUG